rnacentral:rRNA from 1 species
CAACCAUCAAGCACCGCUUGGUAUUGAGUCCAUGUCAUCUCGGAUGGCAGCCUCUAAAAUCAGUGGCGGUGCCGCUGGGUCCUGAACGUAGUACAAUAUCUCGUUACAGGCGUCAGCGCGCUUCUGCCAAUUACACAUCGCACAGGAUU